UACGAAGGGGGGCUAGCGUUGCUCGGAAUCACUGGGCGUAAAGGGCGCGUAGGCGGUGCCACAAGUCACCUGUGAAAUCUCCGGGCUUAACUCGGAGCCUGCAGGCGAAACUGUGGUGCUGGAGUGUGGGAGAGGUGCGUGGAAUUCCCGGUGUAGCGGUGAAAUGCGCAGAUAAUCAGGAGGAACACCGGUGGCGAAGGCGGCACUCUGGGCCGGUACUGACGCUGAGGAGCGAAAGCGUGGGGAGCGAACAGG
rnacentral:rRNA from 1 species